rnacentral:misc_RNA from 1 species
UAUCAAUCGCAUCAGUCAAUCCUAAUCAGUCGUCAAUUCUACCUUGUAUCUUCCAUCAUUUCCCUUGAAAACUCGCGUGUGAUAUCGUGACGCCGGCAAUUGCAAAGUUGGUGGUGCAGGAUACAGGUGUGAGUCGGUGACUUGAAAAGUGGGGGAUGAUUAUGUUGGUAACCCCCUCCCCUCAAAAAAGUAGGGAAUGUAUCCCCCAUCCCUCCGGGAUCUCCGCCCAUGCUUCAGAUGAUGCGAUGAUAUCCAGCUAAAAUUCUUAGCCAGCACGGUCUUUCAAAUUGACCGCUUAUAAAGCGUAGCAACUAUUGAGGGCGCCAUGUAAGUGAGCAAACGGCACUCGUGAAGAUUUUUUUGUUAGCAUUGUGACGUGUUUGUGUGGGACGCCGCGCCAGCCACGCUUUGCCAGCUAGUGAAAAGAAAAUAUUUAUGCCGUGUAGUAGAAUGAGGAAAAGUCGGCAGUAUGCAGUCCCAAAUCGUGGAGGGGUUGUAAGUAAACAGAAAACAAAACAGACCGAAUGUUGCCAUAGUUAGUAUCUAAACUGUUCUAUAGUCCAUACCAACCAUUUAACAUGGCUAGUUAAAUGUUAAUAACCCACAGAACUGUCGGUUUCGUUGUACAUGUACAUGCGGCUCUAUUGUGGACGACUGGACGACCAUAGGCCUGGAGGACCGACGAAGCCCAUCUCUGCAGAACUGUCGGUUUCGUUGUACAUGUACAUGCGGCUCUAUUGUGGACGACUGGACGACCAUAGGCCUGGAGGACCGACGAAGCCCAUCUCUGCAGGCCUAAGCUGACGGACGGACUUAUCGUGUUGAGGGCAUCUAGGAGACGUAACACCAGAAGCUUCAAGGGCGCCCUCUUCGCAGGUUGACCCUCUGCGCCGUGUUCUGGAUGCUGCAGUUCCAGCGCUCGUUCCGGAAGCGUUCCUGACACUCCGAGA